UGACAUUUCGCUUUGAGAAAAAAGCAAAAUUACAAAUAAUUGAAAACGAUUUCAACUUCUUUCCGCAAAAUGCAAAGCCUGACACAAAGAAAACUCUGCAUYUUCACCUUUGGCUUGUUUGUUGGAUAUAUUAUUUCGCCGAGGAGGCGCUAAGAGGAAUAAAAAAUUUGCGAGGAAUACGAAAUUUGCGAGAGUGUAUACUAUUUAUUUUCAAUAGUGCUGCUGUUUUUUGAUUCAUUGAACUCUAAUCUAAACAUAAAACUAAAGCAAUUUCUAYUUACGAAGCUGUCUAAACAAUUUUCUCUUAAAAUUUUAAAAGCGAGUUACAUUAGUUAACGAAGAAMCCGCCUUGGAAUGACCGAACCGUUGAUCAUUUUUUGCAUGGGCACUUUGGCUGGCGUCAUAUUGGUUAAUAUUCUACAAGGAAAUCGGCUGGAAGGAAACAGAAUGCUUGCAGAUCGCCUGAUAAUAUUUAUAUUUGGUGUUGCCAUUGGCUACUUUAUUGUGCCGAAAUUGUGAUUUUCAUGUGACGCUAAAUUCAAAUAUGUAUUCAAUUAUAAAAGCAACAACAAUGCGACAAUAAAAUUUCAUUUACGUAAUUAGGAAACGUUUUGAGUUUGUGGUAAUUAUAGUUAGCAWAGCAAUUGAAAUGCUUCGAGUCAUUAAGGAUGAAAAAUACAUGCUGAACUACACGUUUUCAAAUUUCAUAUUGGUUUUGUUGUUGUAUUAGCAUAUAUAUAAUUUCGGAGAAUGCCGCUGAGAUGGUAAUAACCAACGUAAUAAGGCGUACGAUUUGCCUUUUAUCCUCAGAAAAAAGUACUUGAAAAAACAAAAAAAUCAUUGUAAGCUUUGCUUCAUAGUUAAAUUGAAUAAUCAAAGUAAAUGUCAAAACCUAAAACUUCUAAAUAUUUYGUGUGAAAAUUGUUGAAAUUUUUAAAGAGACCUCUAAAAUAACUAAUCAAAUCUUAACCUGGAAUUGUGGCUCYUUCAAUUGGAACCAUGGAUAGAAUUAUCUUAUUCAGCCUUGGCGUCUUAGUGGGUUAUUAUAUCUUGAGAAGAAUGUAAUUUGUAGAGUAUGCAUGAAUAUAAUGGAAUAAAUUUUAAUGAAUAUUGCUGCUGUGUGUCUCYUUGGAAAGAAUAAUUAAUGUGUUCUUUUUCGAUUUAUGUGUAGAGGAGAAUAAAAAUUCGCUGUAAAAAAAUUGUAAAUAAAUACAUAUUUAUAAUGAUAAAUACAA